UGUAAAAAAUGACUGAUGCAAAAAGUUGUACAAAUGAGGAAAUACAUGUUGGCUCAACAUAAUGGUUGUGUCAAAAAAGAAAAAUAUGUUUGGUCAAUGAUAGCAUGAUUUCCAUGAAAGUACUACAAAAUGUUCAUCAAGAGAAAAUAAAUAAUUGUGUUGAGAGAACUUUUAACGUUGCACAAAAAAUAUUAUGUUGGCCGAGCAAGAGGGAACAGCGUCAAACGUCUGAGCAUGCGCAAAGGAGUUCUACCAGGUGCAGGCAGCAGGCUGGAGUUUCCCCCACCACGAGUCACGACAUUGCACUGGUUUGCAUCUACCGUAUUGGGGUAACCGUGAAGUUAGCCAUUCCUGACAGCGCUGGACAAUCACACCCAGGGGUUGCUAAAGAUGUACAGAACCAAAGCAAGACAGGGAAGGUGAAACAACUUGGAUGAACUUCUGGAACAACUGGAUGCCCAGCAGAAGAAAGAAAUUCAUAAAGGUUUGAAACAACAUGAGGGUAACUAUUUCAUGAAGUUGAAAUGAUGCCCAAUGGUGAAAAGAACCACAGAUCUAACUACUUAUAGAAGGUCUUCUGUUCUUCGUGGUCUUCCACUGUACUUGAGAGAGCCAGCUUCAAUUUCAAAGACUAUUAAGGAUACUGAGGCACUGGGGCCACACACAAAGGCCAUGAAAAUGGGGAUCCUGGAAGUGACUGACAGUUCUACCAACUCAGGACCAUAUCCCACAGUGGUCGAUGUGGCUGUAGUACUGGAGGAGGAAGCUGUCAUGGACAAUCUGGGAGACUUCACAAAUGCCCUCAUGAUGCUUGUUUUGGCACUGGUUGAAUACUUGUGUAAUAUUUUACUUGAGCCUAACAGGCAAGUUCAUAUGUAUUUAAAUAAAUACAUAAAAUCUUCUUUAUCAAA